rnacentral:lncRNA from 1 species
GCUUGCCGGGUGUACAGUUUUUUCUUUUUUAUCCCUAACUUUUGCCCGAACCUUUUUCUUCUUUUUCUCUUGGUUCGUCGGGAUGCCCUUUUUUUUGCCUGGACUCUUUUAUUCUUUUCAUCCAGCGGGUCUCUUUUACGAAGUAUUUUUUCUAACUGCGUCCGCACUCACAGGGGAUGGAAAUCCUCACCAUCCAUGGUCGUCAGCAACAAGGCUCUGCCAGAGAAAACCUUCUUGACCAUGAAUGAACAUUCAUAAUUGUGUGUCCAC